UCCUAAAAUUUCAAAUAAUAC
rnacentral:piRNA from 1 species